UGCAAGUCGAGCGCGCCCUUCGGGGUGAGCGGCGGACGGGUUAGUAAAGCGUGGGAACGUACCCUUUGGUAGGGAAUAGCCACUGGAAACGGUGAGUAAUACCCUAUGAGCCCUUCGGGGGAAAGAUUUAUCGCCAAAGGAUCGGCCCGGGUUAGAUUAGGUAGUUGGUGGGGUAAUGGCCUACCAAGCCUACGAUCUAUAGCUGGUUUUAGAGGAUGAUCAGCAACACUGGGACUGAGACACGGCCCAGACUCCUACGGGAGGCAGCAGUGGGGAAUCUUGGACAAUGGGGGCAACCCUGAUCCAGCCAUGCCGCGUGAGUGAAGAAGGCCUUAGGGUCGUAAAGCUCUUUCGCCUGUGAAGAUAAUGACGGUAGCAGGUAAAGAAACCCCGGCUAACUCCGUGCCAGCAGCCGCGGUAAUACGGAGGGGGUUAGCGUUGUUCGGAAUUACUGGGCGUAAAGCGCGCGUAGGCGGACCAGAAAGUUGGGGGUGAAAUCCCGGGGCUCAACCCCGGAACUGCUUCCAAAACUCCUGGUCUUGAGUUCGAGAGAGGUGAGU
rnacentral:rRNA from 1 species